rnacentral:lncRNA from 1 species
UUUUUUUUUUAAUCUUUAUUGUUUUUUCAUGUUUUUGUGUUUCUUUUUGUUUUUGUUUUUGCAGCUAGUAUGAUGGACUCUGUUUAUAGAUCAUUCAAGGAUGAGGAUGGAUUUCUUUACCUGUAUUAUAGCACUGAGAAAACAUUCGGAUACUGUACAUAAUGUCAAACUAUUCAAUAAACUCUCUACACUUGUGAAGUACUACUACUACUACUACCUUCUUAUAUCAGAAACCUUGUAAAUAUUUGUUGUAUUGUUGUAUGGUUUCACCAAUUAUUGCAUUCUUAUUUAUCUUUCAAAUGCUAUGUAUAACAUUGAACCAUUUGGGCUAUUAUGGAUUUGAGAAUGCAUGAUGUAUAGGAAACUGCUCUUACUUAUAGUGUGCAAGAUAUAAUUGCUAUAUCGUUAUUGAUUAAUAUAACAGGAUCUGAGACUGAGUAGUUUUCAUUUCCUUUACUGCAUUUGUUUAUUGAUUAUCAUUCUGUCAUGUAUUCUUAGUCUCUUUUCACUUGUUCAACUGGGAAAACUCCAAACAAAUGUCUGUCGUCUCUUAUUUAUACUCACAACUGGAUACCAUAUGUCGGAUUCGUCUAAUUCACUCAAGCUAUAGUCACCAAAUACAUCAACCAUAUAAUUUAUAUGAUAGAAGUGAAGUGGUUUGAAUGCCUCAUCUUUCAUUCAAAUGGUAUUUCUGUGUUUUGAGCAAUCUCACACAUAUGUUUUUCGCACAUGUCGAAUUUCAUUAAAUUUGAGAAUACUUACUCACCUUCAACACAAUCCUCCAUUCCCUCUUUAUUUCAUGGCAAAACUAGCUUGUACCUUGUAUUCUCAUUAGGAUGAAUCAUGUCAUUUUUUAAUCUCAUCGCGACAUGGUUGUGCAAGCUGUUAAAUCGGUCAUCAUUACUAUACGAGCUUAUGAAACACAUUACAGCCACCAAUGUUUUUUAUUACCUGGUUUUUGUUUUUUAUUAGCUUGGUUUUUUUGUUAAGAGGGAAACAAAUAUGGCUGCCCAAAGUUUAGCUAGAACUUUCAUAUUAGAGAGUGUAGAGUCUAGUCUCAAGUUUUAUCAUUCUCCUCCUCCCUUGUAUUCAACACCUCCUCCUUGAUGAAAUGAAAUUAUCUUAUUUUACCUCAAGAGAAUUAGACACAGUAUUACCUUAAAUAAAAAACAUUACUUUAUUUUUAUCUAAUUUUGCUGAGCAUACGAAUUAGUUUUUUCCUACGCUAAAUUGAUAAUACAAAGAAUAUAACACUAUUCCACGCUAAUUAUGUUUAUUUUGUUAUCUAGACCAAAUUCUAACACUGAGAAAACCAAAUUUUCAAGAUGAGUGAUAUGAACACUCUUUCUAACCCACACUAUCUUGAAAUUCAUGUGAGUACUAUACUUUGGAAAUUGGUCUCGCAUAAAGUGGUCAGAUUCACAUGGAUUUCACCCGACAUGAGAGAGUGUUAGAAAGAGAGUGUUUAUAGCAUCUCUUAAUUGAGUAAUGAUAUUUGUACAUCUAUUUUGUGAUAACUUUUAAGACAAUAUUAUUUUUCCCUCUUCUUAUUGGUCAAAAACAAUAUAGAAAAAAAAAAGAAAAAGAUAGAGAGUAAACACAAUAAGAGUAUAUGAGCGAGGGAGUUGUCCAAGAAUUGUUCCAAAAUAGUUGUCAAUUAUCAAUGCUAAUGAACAAGUAUCUAGUUUAAGCCUCUGUUUGGUUUGGCUUUUGCAAAGCCAGAAUCAAUUCUGGAGCAUUUCAAAAGCAAUUCUGCAAUAUUUAACAUGUUUGGUUUGGCUUUUCAAAAUAGCUUUUAUCCUCCAAAAGCAAUUCUAGUUGAAGCUACAAUUCCUAGCUUCUUACUUUCCUAGAAUCAAUUCUACACCCUCAAUUCUAUUAAUUUCAUCCCUGCCCUCAUUAAUUUAGUAAUUUCUAUUUAUUUGUAUUUAACUAUGUCUAUUUUGGUAAUUAUACAUUCAAAAGUAAUUUUGAUCAAAACUAUCCAAACAACAAUCAUUCUGUUUAAUCAAUUCUGCAUUAUUGCAUCCAAACAUAAAUCAAUUCUGUCAGAAUCAAUUCUGUCAAAAUCAAUUCUUUCAGAAUCAAUUCUGUCAGAAUCAAUUCUACACACCUCAGAACCAAACACACACUAAAUUGCAUUCUCCAUUGAUGUGGCCCUACAUGAUACGGACCUGCACACGGUAUGAUGACAACUAUGUGCUUUAACACACAAAAGUCGGCAUAUUUGUUAAAUAUAAAAGCAGAACGACCUGGUAAUCAUAAGCCACUAUGUUUCUUGUAAGAAUUUUUGUGUGACGAAGUAGGUGUUUAGCAGCAAAUAUUCUAUGUCCAUCUAAUUAUAAGCAUAGGCAUAGCAUCCAGACUGAGCAAGAAGAAUUGUUCAAAAGUAGAUUACUUCAAGUUUUGUUUAACAUUGAAGGCUACAGCCAAACACGUUUUUGUUUCCAAAGUAAGACCUACUCUCACCUCCUCCCCUUCAUAUAUUUUCCAACCUAUAUAUAUACUCAUGAGGCAUAUAUUCUUCACCUCAACCUUAAUUAGUAUCCAACAGCAUAUAUACAUACUUGCAUACCAUUCGCUUCCUUUUCUGUUCACACUACUAAACAGACUAAUACUGAAAAAUAGAGCAUAUCCUACAAAUUAAAAAUGGUUAGAAUGCAUUCAAUACUCUCUAUAGCUACCUUGGUUAUAGUUAUUCUCUCAGUUUCAACAACAUUGGCAUCAUCGACAUCUUUGAAGUAUGGUUUCUACAAGACAACAUGUUCAUCCGUAGAGGCAAUUGUUAGAAGAGCUGUAAACAAAGCUGUUUCACUCAACCCCGGCAUCGCUGCUGGUUUGAUUAGAAUGCAUUUUCAUGAUUGCUUUGUCAGAGGAUGUGAUGGUUCUGUUUUAUUAGAUUCCAUACCAGGUAUUCAAUCUGAGAGAGACCAUCCUGCAAACAAUCCAAGUUUACGUGGCUUUGAAGUAAUCAACGAAGCUAAGGCACAAAUAGAGGCUGCAUGUCCUAAAACGGUGUCCUGUGCAGACAUUCUUGCUUUUGCAGCUCGAGACAGUGCUCGCAAAGUUAGUGGCGGCAGAAUAGACUACUCAGUACCAUCAGGACGCAGAGAUGGUCGAGUGUCUAUCUUCGACGAAGUCACACAAAAUUUACCACCACCAACUUUCAGUGCGGAGCAACUUAUCGAUAAUUUUGAUAGAAAAGGUUUGUCAGUAGAUGAAAUGGUUACACUUUCUGGUGCUCAUUCUAUUGGUGUCUCACAUUGUUCUUCAUUCUCAAAACGAUUAUACUCUUUCAAUUUAACUUUUCCUCAAGAUCCUUCUAUGGACCCUAACUUUGCUAGGUUGUUAAAAUCUAAGUGUCCACCACCACAGUCACAGAGCAUAAACCCAACUGUGGUGCUUGAUGGUAGCACGCCUAAUGAUUUGGACAACAUGUACUAUAAGAGGUUGAAGAAUAAUCGUGGUUUAUUAACUUCGGAUCAAACAUUGCUUAAUAGUGGCUUAACUAGGAGAAUGGUGUUAAAAAAUGCUAGACAUGCUGCAAUCUGGAAUGUGAAGUUUGCCAAAGCCAUGGUGCAUAUGGGUUCCUUAGAUGUGCUGACAGGUUCUGAAGGUGAGAUUAGGGAGCGUUGUAGCGUUGUUAAUUAAUUAUAAUUAACUGCAGCACCUUCUUGAUCUUCAGAUAAUUUGUUCAUAGAUUCAAAGGUAGCUUUCUUUCUUUUUUCAUCAAUUCUUUGAUACUUUUAUUGUUUUGUUUAGAAUCAUUCUUUAUUUGUGUGUUACCGCUUAUACUCUUCAUCAAUUCAAGGGUAUAUGUGCAAUCCAGUGUAAUAGAACAUGAAAUAGUGAAUUACUCUUCGAAUUAUAUAUGUUGGAUUGGAUCAUUUCAAUAUUUACUGCCUAUAGAUUUGGUUCUUAUUUGGUGACUAAUUAUUCGGCAGACCUCUUCAAAUUGUAUGCAGUAGAACUAGUCUGAUUGCAAGAACAUUUUUACAGGAAAUACUUGUAUGAACUAUGAACCCGAACAUUAUGAGAACAAGCCAUUUAUAGUUUUUUACUAUUUCAGAUGCUGACAAUGGUUUUAAAUUGCUGGCAGCAACCUCAUUAUAACAGUUUUUCAUGUCUAUCAAAAGACAUCACAACCGCAAUUGCAACCACAUGUAACUGCAAUAUAGAAGUUCACAGCUUAACCUCAAUUACAGUUUAAUAUUAUAGCGAUAACCGAAUUAGUAUGACCUCACAAAUGCACGAGGGAAGAAUCUGUGAAGAAUAUUGAUUUUGGUUUUCACUAUCAAUGAAUAGAUGCCGUAGCAAGGUAUGUGAACUAGCGCCAUGCAGAUAUACCUAUAGACAAGAUACAUUAGUGAGAAUAACAAGUAUUUGGUAUAGAAAGAAAAAUGGAGAAGACAUGGCAUUUGUAUGUUAAUAGUAUAUCUUACCAUAAGGGAGCCCAUGGAAUAUUAAGCUCAAGAAAUGGGUAUGGCCACCUGUUAGAGGAAGAAAGCUUUAGCUGCUGCUGAUGAUACAAAGAAGGUAAAAAUACAGUUACAUUUAAAUUUACAUCUUACCAUGUGGAACCACAUGCGUGGAUAACCCAUUGGAAAAUAACGUAGGAGCAGCUCCAGAGCACAAAAUAUGCUAUUCUAAACCACGGAAAAGGCUGAAAAAAGAACACAUAUACAUACAACAAAUUGAAACCAUUAAUUACAUGUGCCUCAGUGUUCUAUAAAAUUGGUGCUUAGUUUUAUGCUCUACUUCUCUAGUGAGUGUGUUACUUACAAGAUUGUUCAGCAUAGUAUCCAAAAGAAGGAAAAUGGCGUUCAAGGUAUGCAUGCAACCCAUCAACUGUAAUCAAGUACAUACCAACAACAAUCAAUGAUACUUCCAAGUUCCAAAGAUCAAUUAUCAAUCUAUCAUACAAAUAUUUGUUGAAUUUCAUUCAUAUUAUUAUGUAAAUUACUAAGAAUAUGUGAUAUAUAUAGAAGAAGUGCACAUACCAUGUUUAGCUUAAAACGAGAAAUGGAUAAAAAUGGGACAAUAACGCACCAAAAGACAAUAUCUGUUAAUAUGAUAGACCCUGCACUGGUCUGCCAAAUGCAGAAUAUCAGUUUCAACUGGAUUAGAAUAUUGGUGACAAAUUAGAAAACAAAUAUUCAUCAUAAUUAAUGUUCUUGAAGAAACUUAACCUGAAAUGUAAUUUGCAUGAGGUAACCCCAGAAUCCUGCUGUUUGUUCAAACUCCUCUUCAGCAUAGCGGCUUUGAAACGUGAAGAUGGAACCUUUAGUUUCCAAAUCCCUUCUCAGAAACUCUGUCAUUUCCCCAUUUUGAAGCGGAGGAGGUUUGUUCAAAACCUUCCAACAUCCGUAUGCAGAUACCGUUGUCCCCAACUGCAUUCCAAAAACAAUACAAGCGCGUACAUGGUAAUACAACCAGUCACAUGGUUAGUAAAUCGUAAUUCAUUUUGGUUCCUGAGUGUUGUAGGGAAUUAUGUUACUAUGAAUACAACUAAUGUGAAAGCAUUGAGAUGAUCACUCACCGCAAAGUAUAUCAUUACUAAUGUGAAAGUCCAUCUGCAUAAAAAUAAAGGCAACAUGUUCAUAUGGUCAAAGAACAAGAAUCAUGAAAGCGCCAAGGAACAAUUGGAAGUAAAGAGGACUUACUCUGUAUAGUAGUAAAAAAUACUUGCAUCGUACUCAUGAAUAUCCAAGUAUAAUAGCAUGGCUAAGCUGACAAAGGAAAACAAACGCGUAGUUAACAGCACAAGAGGGUGCACUCCUCGCCAACAGCUGGUCCAUAGCUGGGAGGUGCUCACAUGACCUAUGGCCACUCUAUUGUCCGACGAAGGUGAAUUAGCCACCAGAAGGCUCUCGACAAAGAUGUUAGAAUCGCUUUGAGAGGUCGAGGACCCUUCGUUUGUCCACAGAACCCAUAAGGCACCUAGGAUGGACACUCCAACAAUUGCAAAACACACAAAGUCGUACCAUUCUACCACCAAUGCCAUGGAUGUAUUCACUUCUGCUAGGUAAGGCAGCUUUGUUGUUUUUGGUGCAUAUUGUUUUAAUUGGUAAACUAAAGAUUGAGAAUGCUAAAAGGGAGAAGCUGGCUCUAGAAAUUGUUUUGGUGUGUAUGGGAGGAUACAGAAGGAAGGUAUACUAAGGGGGAAUGAUAGUUUUGGGUUGAGUUUGACUGUCAGGUUUGGGAUUAUUUAGUUCAACUUUGAAUAUAAGUUAUACCUACUAACUACUGAUUAGUAAGAGGAUGAAAAAUCAACAUCAACGAGGAUACAAUGCAAGAGAUGAAAUUGUAUAAGGGAAACUUAGAUUUACUUCAAUGAUAAUAGCCAAAGUUUAUACAACAACAAUGAUAGAUAUGUCAUUAUCUCUAUAUCUCUUUCUUCAUACAGACACCCUUUAUUCCCAUACACCCUUGUACACCCCAUGCAUUAGGAAGAGAGAAGAGGAGAGAAAAGAAAAAGUGUGCUUGUGCGGGGUCCACGUGACUACGUGUCAGAUUUUUGUGUGGAUGUUAAAAGGUGUAUUGCCACCUAAGGGUGUCUAUGUAUCAUUACUCUUCUUCAUAUCACAUGAUUAAGAGAUAGUUUGGCUGUGCCACAGGAGUAAAUUACUCAAAUGCCCUUCGGUAGUUAACUGCCGAAGAAAACCUCGGUGGUUAACUUCCGAAAUCCAAUUUAAUCCAUCGGCACUUAAGUGCCGAGGAAAUUAUACAUUCAUUUUCUUCGAUGCUUCUUCUUCUAAAAGUGUUGUGCAUGUACAGUACAAUUCAUUUGUUUCUCUGAAGUUCCAUCAUUUAUUUAUUUUGCUUUUCUAGAUCCAGUGGUUUAAAGGUUCUUUGCAUUAUAUAGUACCGUUUCUCACUCACUUUCUUCUUAUUGGAAGUUAUAGUUCUAUCUCUCAUUUGUUGUUCUUCAUUCUUCUCUUUCUACUUCUACUUAUGUGCCUUUUUACAUAGAAAAACAACAGUGAGAUUGUUGAGAUAAUAAUGGAUGAAGAUUAAUUAGAGAAACGAAGAUGAACAUAGAUUAAAGAAAUUGGGUGUGAGAGGGAAGUUCUUGAUAUGAAUUUAGAAAGAAAUAUUGAGAAAAAUAAAAUGAAAUGCAUCUCAUAAAGGAUGAAUCGAGUGAGAACAGGGGAUUAUGAUGUAAUUGAGUAUUUGUUAGUGGUUGUGUAUGCUCUGCAAAGGAAGAAUGAAUUUUGCGAGAAGAAGUACCCAAAUUGCCACAUAUGCAGCACUUUUAGAAGAAGAAGCAUCGAAGAAAAUGAAGGUAUAAUUUCCUCGGCACUUAAGUGGCGAUGGAUUAAAUUGAAUUUCGGCAGUUAACUGCCGUCGGUUGCCUAAAAACUUCGGCAGUUUACUAUCGAAAGGCAUUUGAGUAAUUUACUCGUGUGGCACAGCCAAACUAUAUGUGGGAACAACAAUUCUCCAUGGAUAUCAUAUCUAUCACAUCAAGCUCUUUAUUUAUUUUCUCUUAAAGGGGUAUAACAAUAUUGAAUAUCCAUUAAAUAUUUUCCUUUACCUAUGUAGACGUAUAUGAAAGUUAUACAAAACACAAUAGGGGUGUUUAAAAAAUAAUUUGAAAUGGACGGUUAAACCAAACUGCAUGAAAAAUAAAUAGUUUGUAAAUUGAACUAGUUUGAUUUGUGAACUAUCAAUGUGGUUUGGUUUAACGAUUCAAUUUUUAGUUGUUUAAAAUAGUUAUAAUAUUUAAUUUGGUUAUAUUUUUGAUUUUUUUUUCAACCGUACUAAUUAUCGGUUAAUAAUAGUAAUAUGGUACAAUUCUUCAGAAAAAAGUAGUAAUUUGUACAAUCAAAAAAAUCAUUUCAUAUUUUGUAAAAGUAGUUAUUCUAAACCAAACAAUGAACCAUCCUAAUUGAGAUGGUGCUUGAUAGAAUCUAAAACUAUCACUAACAAAACAAUAAGAAAAAUUAAAUAACCUAAAAGAUUUAUUAGCUAUUAAUAAGGUUCUAAUUUAUAUUAUUUCUCUUCUUCUCAUAUAUGGGUUUGUUAUUAUUUUUUUCUUUUUUUCUUAUAUAUGGGUUUUUAUGUUAAUAUUUUUUAUCACCAAAGUUUGAACUCUCAUCAUCUUUUAAAAAAAAAAGAUAAUCGUAAAUUUGUACAUUGAAGAACGAUGAUUUCAAGAUGAUAAUUAUUUUGCGAAAUGGCACAUGAUUUUUCAUUUAGCAAGUUGGUUUGGGGGCAUAGUUCACCUUGUAGGUGGCAUUUAGCAUGCACAAUUGAUAAAUUUGUGCAUCAUACAUAAGUUCUUUUGGACCAUUAGAUUAAAUGAAGAACACCUUUUUAUCAUGGUCUCUCAGCAUCAGAUUUCACUAACUCUCUCUACCUCCUCUCUUUCCUCCACCACUACCACCACCCAAUCUGCCCCUCCACGACAAUCACCCCGUCUUUCACCCUCCUCCCACAUCACCACCGCCAUGCAAAAACUCGAACCCAUCAUCAGCUCCCUCCCUCCCUCAUUUGUUACCAUCUCCUCUUCCACCCUUUCUAAUUUUUAUCUCCUUAUUUUUAGCUUCUCGUCCUUGGUACCGUGGUUUAUUUUCAACAAGAAAGAUAUUCGGCGUGGGUGAUUUCAAAUUGAAGCAGUUAAUUUUUGCUUCGUUUUCUUCCAUGGAAGUAAGCAGUGUUCAUGGAUUUACAAUUUCUAGAUUUUAAAUAUAUGUGAAGUGAUUUAUGAUGCUGUUGAAUUGUAGUACCUACCAUCACCAUGUGUCCAAUCACGACUUGAUGAUUUUUCAACUAAAGACAACAAAUUUUUAUCCUUUUUGAAAGAGAUGCACAUAUCCAACUUGAACAAAUGAUACCCAGAUGAAGAUAUUUAUUAAUUUGAGCUAUCAAGGAACAAGACACUUUUGGGGGUAACAAGAAACUUAAAACAACAUGAAUUGUGAAUUGAGAGUGUGGUACACAAUUAGCCCAACGACCUGGUGGGGACAGAAACGUGAAUUGAGGGAAGUUUGUUGCUGUGACUGUGAGUAGAGAAAAAGGAAGAGGCUGAGAGAGAAAGGGAGGGAGAUAUGAUGUUGACAGACCAUGAUAAAAAUGUGUUCUUCAUUCAAUCCAAUGGUCCAAAAAAAACUUGUGCAUGAUGCACAAAUUUAUCAAUUGUGCAUGCUAAAUGCCACCUAGUUUGUAUAUUAAUUAUUAAAUUUUAGCGAAAUGUUUGACCAAAAAAAAUUAGGGAAAUGAAAUGAAAGAAUUUGAGUGGGCACGGAUCCACCACCAAGUGCACACGUGGAAUAUUACUCUUACUCCAAAAUAAUUUUUGUGAUUCACAAAUUUCAUUCAUAAGACAUCGCGGAAAAGAGACCCAGUAGCAACAGUAGUCCGCAGGGAUAGGAGAACUGUAAACUCUGAAACUUGAGACCAUGUCUUCAACUGCAACCGCAACCGCAACCGUCGUCAUAGGCCCUUUUUCAACAACUUCAUCUUCGAAUCGCAAUGCUAGAACCACAUUUGCCGCCAAUUUUACUUCUAGAAGCUUCCCCUCAACUUCACUCUCUUCCAAUCGCUUCUUCUUCAGACUCCCUCACACUUCUUUUUCUAAGCGAUCCCCAACUUUCCGUCGAUUCAAGCGAUUUUCCCCUGUCAUGGAGUGGCAGGAUUGCACGUAACUUACUCCUUUUCACUUCUUAAUCACUAAUCACUUUUUUCUAUGUAUGUAUAUUUAUCAUUAAUCAUGUUAUAUUAUAGUACUGCUAAAUUGAAAUUUAAAACCUGUUGAUUAGUAUCGGUGUAUGAAUAACAGAUUGAAUUCAUUUAACAUUUGUUAUAGAUAUAGCUUAUACAUAAUUGUUUAUGUUAUAUGCGCUUAAUUAAGUUGUUUAUCCAAAUGUGAUGCUAUAAGCACUUAUAUCAUGGUUUUAAUGUUGUAUAUUUCUCAAUAUAUGAGUCAGUUUUUAGCACUUUUGUUUGGUUUCGUCAUGCUUAUCCAACCACAGUGAAAAAGAGAAUGUUGCUAACUGCAGGGUUAAGAUGGAGGUUGAUGUGCCGAUUUCUGUAGCAUAUGCUUGUUAUUCUGAUCGUGAAGCCAUCCCGGAAUGGAUGCCCUUUAUUUCCACUGUUAAGGUGUGCUUGCUCUCCUUCUAACCCUAAUUAAUUACAAGGCUAAUAUCACAAUCACUAUUGUUGGUUUUUAUGAAAGAAUUGAAACUCUUUACCUUAUGGAAUCAUAGCAUGUGAAAUGCAACCUUGACUCUUUUCCUGUCAGACUAGAUUAAACUGUGUUGAUGAGGAUAUUUCACUUCAAAUUAGACAAUAUUGAAUUGUGCAUGAUAUUUUUUAUAACACGAUGAAUCACAAAAAAUAUAGCUUCUGCUUGUUUCUCUUUGCUAAAUCAUACUCCCUCCUGUCACAUUUAUAAGCAAAAAACAACUUUUUAGAUUCAUUGAAUACCAAAUACAUUAGUUAUUCAAUCAAUCUAAAAAGUUGUUUUUUGCUUUUAAAUGUGACCGGAGGGAGUAUAUUUAGCCUGUUCGUUUGAAGUUUAUGGUCUUUAUGUUUUGAAUUUUAGCUGCUUUCAACUGUUUAAAUUAUCAUAAACAUGCAAUCUUCGUACAAAUAUCAUAAAAUGUAAUCAGUAAUAAAUUUUGAUUUUAUGCAAAACGUUGGAUCCAUUUUGCAGAUAUUGCCAGACAAACCUGACCUGUCGCAAUGGUCCUUGAAGUAUAAAGCAUUUGGUCAAAAUAUUGAGUUCUCUUGGCUUGCUCGUAAUAUGCAGGAAAAGAUUGCCUACCUGAUACUUUUGCUUCUUUUAAAAAAUUCUCUUUACAAUUAGUAUUUUGUAUUCAUGUUUUAUUGCCUUCUUGCAGCCCACUCCAAAUCAGAAAAUCCAUUGGCGAUCUCUGGAUGGUCUUCCCAACAGGUAACUGACAAGGACAUUUUCUGAUAAGUUAAUAUCUUGUGCUUGAUUUCCUUUUCUGUGGAAAUUUCGGUUGUCCAACAUUAGGAAACAUUUGAUUUGACAUGUAACUAAGACUGAGAAGAAAUAUCCCUAUACAUAUUUCAUCAUUAAUUGUCAUUGUAGUAUUAUAUUAACCUGCCCAAGCAUUACUGUAGUUUAUCUUGUGCUAAAAGAAAUUACCUUAAAAUACUUGAUGAUGUGCUCAACAACCAAGUGAUCUGCUAAAUUAAAACAAUCGAAAUCUCUUGCCAUUAACCUUUGUUUGGUAAACAAAAAGAGGUUAGCAAGAGAAGAGAGUGGAAUUAAGUUGAUUAACUAUAUUAACUUCGGUAUGAAUGUGUGAUACAUUCAUAGUAUUAUUAUCAUACGUCCCCUUCUUUAUUUUGUUUCAUUUCCCAAACAUACCAUUAGGUUACACUUGAUAAUGCUUAAUUAGCUGAAUUUACUUCAUGAAGUAGAACUUGUGCCAUUUCUCUUGAAUGAGUAAUGAAAAAGAAGGAAGGGUGAUUUCCUUCCUUACACUGGUUCCCAGAGUAAAAAAAACGGCUGAAUGUUUAGUUUUUGUUUACUAAUUCAGCAUUGUAGGUCACUUACAAUAAGGUAUUCUGAUAUAUGUUUGAUAAUGUAUGUGCUAGGAAUUUAACAUUGUAGUCCUUGACAAGUUCUUAUAGCAAUAUUUUGCUGGUAAGGAAUACCAAUAUCCAGCUUUUAUGUGGUGGGUUUUAAGUGUGGGUGGUUAAGUCCCAAAUUGCCUAUAAAUGGAUAAAAUGUUGGCCAUAUAAGUGAGGUGACCUAUAUACCUAAUGCCUUAAGGUAUUGGGUGGAGAUGCGGCAUCUCCCUCUCUUGUAGUCCUGGAGCAUUUGGGCCUGUUGUUUCUCCCGUGACCCCUGGACUCCCCAACAUUAUGCCCUAGGAAUAAACAUUUUGAGCUUUCUAGUCGUAGAGUCUGACAUGAUAUGAGUAGGUUUCUCUGCUAUAAAUACCGUAGAUCUCUUGUUUUAAGGGAGUAGAAGGUCUUUAACCUUAUAGCAGUGAAAUGUUCUAAUUAGUAAUCAAGGUUGCAUAAUGCUGUGUCAAGAAGUAUGUUAUUAGUAGGUUUCUACUCGUAGAGUCUGACAUUACAUGAGUAGAUUUCUAUGCUAUAAAUACUGCAGACUCUUGUUUUAAGGGAGUAGAAGGUCUUUAACCUUAUAGCAGUGAAAUGUUCUAAUUAGUAAUCAAGGUUGCAUUAUGGCUGUGUCAAGAAGUAUGUUAUGUUUUUGCUUUGAUAUUAGGUAAAACUUAUGAUUGUGUUUUCUUUGUGCUUGGACUAGCAAUCUGUUAGCUGAUUCACACAAUGUUUGCAAAAUACAAUGCUUCAAUCAUGGUUAUAGAAUUCGUAGCUUAUCUUGUUUAAGCCAUCCAGUGGCUAGAAAACACAUUUCGGUUAAAGCAUGUUUAGCACUAGUUUUUGUCUAAUCUUGUCAUUAAAACAUAAUCUAAUGCUGCGUCUGACGUAGACACCAUGUUCCCUGUUUGCAUUAAAAGGCUUAUAAUUGUCUGAUUUCUCAGACUUUUAAAACAUAAUCUAAUGUUGCGUCUGACGUAGACACCAUGUUCCCUGUUUGCAUUAAAAGACUUCUAAUUGUCUGAUUUCUCAUGUGGCAGAGGUGCUGUGCGAUUCUAUCCAAAAGGUCCUUCUUCAUGCCUUGUAGAAGUAAGGCAUUUUAUACAAUUUUUACAAAUUUCACCUAUUUUGUUUUACAUUGAUGAUAACAACUCAAUCUUUCUUGUACAACUUUGUCGACUUACUUUGAUCCCAUAUUUAGGGGGGAAAAUUGGGUAAUCAAUACCAAUUGUAAGUUUCUCAUUCUAGUAUUUAUCAAACUAGCUGCAAGUUCCUAUUGGGCCAUCUAAUUGCCUGUCCCUAUCAGGCCAGUGCAUGACUAGGUGGCACACCACAUGUAUGCACACUAAGGAAUAACUCUUUCUAUCAAUCGCAUCAACGGUUUUUCCCACGCUUUUAACUUCUAACAUGAAAUUAGGAAAACUUAAAAGUAAUAACAGAUAGUGUUUUCUCCAUUUUCUCCUUCCCUGUCCCCAUUCAGCUUUUAGUCAAGCACUAACUAGUAACUAUUGCAUUUUUGUCCUUUAUUACAGCUGACAGUCUCAUAUGAGGUUCCUCAACUUUUAGCUCCAGUGGCAUCGGUAAGUACUCUGGGCUUUAUAAAAAUGUGAAGUUUUUUUAUAACUUUAGGUUGACAAAAACCGUGAAAGAACACCCAAUUUUUCAUUAUUUGGGGACGGAUAAAAUGUAAGAAAAGUGGAAGAUGCUUUCCUAGUUUAUUUGUUUGGGUUCUUGCUCUUCUAAAGUGAACAACUCAGUUUAGGAUCAAGAGUAAAGUGAGCAAUAUCAAUAGUUAAUAGUUAAUAAACAAAUUAAUACUCCCUUCGUCCCUUUUUUAAAGAUUAGUUUACAAGAAUCACAGUAUUAAGAAAAGUUGAAGUAAUAAAUUUGUCACAAAUGUAUGUUUUGUCAAAUUGUCAUUUGUGUAUAGAUACAUUUAAUGUUAACUUUUCAUAUCUCAAAAUUAUAUUGAUAGUAUUAAUAAGGGGUAUUUUUAAAAAAGAGUGAUAAAUACAUCUAGAAAUUUGUAGGAGUAUUUAGGAACAAAACUUUUUUUGUAAAUGAUCUAAUAAUUAGAGAGGGAGGGAGUAGUUUAAAUUAUAUACACAUGCAUAAUAAAUCAUAGUUGUUAAAAUAUCAAGCUUUGGUUUUUUCACUUUACUAACUACUCAAUUUAAAGGAGUCAAAUCCAUUCGUUAAUCUCACUUUUCACCAGUUAUAAUGGACUCUUAUAUGUGUAUGUUGUCACUCUUGAUUGAGCUUUAACAAAGUAUUUUCCUCCUCUCUAUGGUAUAAUCUGCAGGCACUGCAACCAUUUCUUGAAGGUUUACUUAAACGUGGUUUGGAAAGAUUUGCCACUUUCGCAAAAAGCUACAAAUGAUUGUCGUGAUUUUUAGGACUAUAUUUUUGAAAAUGAACAUACAUGAUUAUUUUUGUCCAAACACUGAUUGAAUUUCAUAAAGAUUUGGGUACGGUAAUGCCAGUGUUGGUUAGGUGGAUAGUGUUAUCCCAUUUUUAAGUGUUAAUUCCUCACGGCUCUUAUGGAAAUCAUGGUCAUGACGCAAAGCAAACACAUCAACAUAAAGCAGAAGAUAUGUUAAACCCGGAAUCCCAACCUUGUGGCACUGCUGAAAAUACAGAUAAGCUAUCAGUAUAAGCUACCCUUCAAGACGUUGGAGUAUUUCUAUGUAGUAUUUACGUACUUAGUAAUGUAUUUACUUGCAUACAUUUUUAGUUUUAGAUCCUACCUUUGUCAAACCAUCUCAGGACUGAGAAGCUCCUAUAAGACAUGUGCCCAUACUAGCUGUAUUGUAUAAUUUGUACAUGUAUUUCUAUACAAUAAUGAGGAGAACCUUUUUUAUUAGUACCCUUACCCUUAUAUAAUGCAGUGGCCGUAAGAUAAUGAAUGGGAUAUAAACUAAUACAUUAUUCCAAACAAUUUUUUUUAUUGAUACACAAGAAUGUGAAAUAAAUGUCGUGUCAUAGUGGAAAAAAAUUGACUAGUACAAAAUAAUAAUGUAAAAAUAUUACAUAUCUACACCACCAUCCUCUAACCCUGGGAUAUGUACAUCAACAGACAACGUGAAAAAAUGAUGGCUGCUUUUUCCUACGCCUAAACCUGAAGCAGUCAAAAACAGCUUAUGUAACCUCCACAACACUUUAUUAGAUGAAUUGUAUGUACAUUCAGUUGCUAGCAUUGCCUUCCAACAAGCUUCUCAAGCUACAAAGAGCCUCUGCAGAGAGGCUACAGCAUCUCAAUUUCCGUUGGGGAGGUGGUGAUGGCUCUGACUCCCCAUGGUCAAGGGAGGAGAGGCAUAUGAUGAUCACUGUAAGAUUGUCAAAUGUGUUGAGCCGUAAUGCCUCCAUAACUAAAUCCCUGGCGCACUUCUCUGGGUCAUCGUGCCUCCUCAAACCUUUACGAACAAGGCUAACAGCAUGCUGACUUGUCAUCACAUCCCAGAUGCCGUCGCAUCCUAUGAUGAGGAAUUCGUCAUCCUCUGUUAGAACCACUUGGCGGAACUCAGGAUCUGCAAUCAAAGGUGAGGGAGUACCCCUAGGUAACUUCAUGUCCCAGUCCCCUAGUGCUCUCGUAACUGAUAAAACGCCAUUAAGAUAACCAUCCUCUACGUAGCCACCCAAUUCUUCAACUCGCCUCCGCUCUGAUGGAUAAAUAGGCCUAUGAUCUUGAGACAUGUCAAUGGCCUCUCCUUUACGACUGAGAACUGCUCGGCAGUCACCGGCAUUUGCCACCAUUAGAAGCCUGAAAGAAGCAUAUUAGAAGUCAGUUAAACAAACAAAGGGAGGCCAUCUCCUCUCCAUAGCUAAUACAACAACCAGAGUUUUUUUUUAUUCUUCUACCUAGAGGGAUUGGCUACCUAGAUCAUACAGUGUCGUACAUAAUAUCGAAUCACGAACCAUAUCUAAUGAAACAUGUUUAAUGUAAUGAAACAUGUUCAGUGAGAUGAAAUUCAUUAAACUCAAAUGUUUUUAAAUUGUUUGAGAUAUAGUUAUCCUUAUCCGCUUUCGACCUCUAAUAGUAACCAUACAUUAGAGCUAUUACAAAUAUACAAAAGAAAUAAACAUUAGGUAGUGGACUAAAAAGAAAAACCAAGAAUCUAAAUGGAUGGACCUACCUUCCAAAUAUCAAAGCAGUAAGAGCUGUGGUCCCUGAUGAAGUGUUCACAUUGCUAUCAUCAGCCAAAGCUGAGUCUGCCAAAAGAAAAGCCUUUCUGAGGGAAUUCUCUACCUCUUGUAAAAAUACAUUAUCAACUUCAGAUAUCUGAGGGAAAUUGACAUCCUCAAAGAAGAAUUUUAGAACGUUUUUUCUUAUAUAAGCAGCAGCUUCAGGUCCUCCGUGACCAUCAAACACCUGAUACAUUUGCCAAAGCUCAAUUAGAUUUACAAUGAGAUUAAACAAAAUCAUGCAACCUGGGUGAAAAAGCUCAUUACCCCAUAAAAGGCACUUGGUUUAGGAAAAUUGUAUAGUGAUCCCAGAUGAGAUGACAAAUCAUCUAUCCUUAUAUGUUCAUCUUCCAUGUAUCUACGCGGCCCAAUGUCGGCAAAACUACCGGAACGGAUGCUGGGGACAAAUUGCAGAACCGCAGAGUCAAGAGCAGCUUCCGAGAUUUUAUCUGUAGUCCUGACAUCCUACACCAGAAUAAUUAAACGCAAAUGAGAAAAUGAGAAUCAUAAUGUAUCAAAAGACUAGAUGCAAUAUUUAGUGUAACUUGAGACUAGACUAGUCUAGAUACACAGAAGAAGAAAAAAAUGCUUCAAAUUACCACAUGAGAAAUGAGAAAAAAAAUAUGCUGCAAUUUAUACAAUUAACACACACGGUUCUUAAUUAAAUACUAAUAAUGGCUAUCCCUAAGUUCUUCAGUCACAUUGAAGAGAAGUUAGUUUUCUAGGCAUGGAUCAUUUAAUACUAAUAAUGGCUACAAAUAUUUGUUGACUGCAGAUAACCUCAACAAUGAAGGUUAUAAACUACCAAUCAAAUUACAAUCACAAUUUUGAAAAUCAAGUGUUAAAUUACUAAUAUCUUCAUGGAGGACUUGAUCAACAACAUAUACUUGCUAGCAGAUAUGUCAUCCAUCUAGGUAUCAACUACUUUAAGAUCCAUCACACACAUAUCAAACCUCACAAAGAAACUCAAUUUCAACCGGAUAGAGAGAGAUUCUCUUGUUCUAAAAAAAAAAUUGGAUCAUCACAAAUAAAUUGGACUAAACUAUAUAUAAGUCCAAUUUCUUAAGCUAAAUGAAAAUCUAACUAAAUUAUCAAAAUUCAGGUAUCUCCUUCUAAGAUCAAUCAAAUUCAAUAAUUCAACCUAUAAACAGAUUAGUGAUCCAAAAGUUUCCAAAUUUGUUUUUCUUUCUAUUUAUGUUAGAACCUCGAUCCCAAAAUAGAAGUCAAAGAAUUCACAUCACAUGAUGAAACAUCACAAACGAAGAGAAAGAACGAAACCCAUCAAACCCAAUUAGCAUCUACAUCAUCCAACAACACAAAAUCAGAAGAAAUUCUCAAAAGGGUAUCUGAAAAAACUAACUUCUUUUGUAGUAAGUAACUCAGCAGAAACUGAUUCAGAAACACGAACUCGAUCAAAAUUCGAAUCUACAUCACCGAUCUCGUGAUUAUUGCUUCCUUUAUUCGGAAAAUACUUCACAUCCACGCUUUGUUGACACACAACAACCUCUGCUUCAGCCACCAUUUUUUUCUCUACUUUUUCUUCAAAUAAUUCUUCAGAAAAUCGAUUCAAAUUUCAACGUUUAACAGAGCUGAAUUAUAUCAGAAAAUAUUCGAUUUUAACGAUUUUUUGUUUUGCUUUGUUAUUGUGAUAUUUUCUUUCUGUUGAAGUUUUCUUGCGAAUUUUCUCGCAGUUUCUAUUUCGAUAGAAAAUAAUGAAUGAUCAAUAGUUUCUACAACGCUAUGUUGAAAAACAAUAUAACUGUGGCUAUGGUAGGUACUGGCGGCUACCGGUAAAUCUGUUCGAUGACUGACACGUGUACUUUUAUGCACCAUAGGAUUCUUGGGAAGCGUUUGUGUUGCACGCGUUGAGGCUUCGCUUAACCGACACGUGAUUAGAUUUUCAUGCUGACGCGUGAGUUUUGACGUGUUGAAGGUUGUUAGAUUGAAAGGACGGAAAUGUCCUUGUGGGUAUAAGCUGGCAGGUUUGACUUUACGGUUGGGUACAGUUAGAUGAGGGUAUUAUGGGGAUUUGAGUUCGCCGACCGAGUAUCUGAAUCAUCUUGUUGCUGAUGCGUUUGGUAUCCCCCACCAUUACUGGUGAUGUGUGACAUAGCCUCACCUACGCUAUAAUUUAUUCCUUCUAGCUUUCAUUUAUAUCGUGGAAGAAAAAGUGAGAAUUUAGUGUAAGAUUAAUUUUUUUUUCCUUGCAUAAGGAUCUUGACAACGAAUGCUUUUGAGAUACUUUUUAAACAUUUUAAAUCUAAGUAUUAUUUAAUAAAGUUAAAUAUUUAAAUUUUUGAUGUAUUGAAUAAAUACAUUUUCAUAAAAAUUUAUCAUUUAAUGUUCUUAAAAAAUGUUUUGCGGCAUUCGUUAGAAUUUGAAUAAGUGGAUGAGAUGGUGUUUGGAAUUCGAACUCCGAUCCUUAUAUAUAUUAUAUCUUGUUCAUAUCAACUAAGUCAAACUUACUUAGACAAUUGUAAGUGUAAAAUUGAUUGAAAAUGCUAAUAAAUAUCCAUAGAUAACAAAAGAGAUAUUUCAUAUGUCCCAACAUAAGUGACAUAUGACAAUAUAUAUAUUAUUCUUUUAACAUAUUUUGAUCAUAUUUUUCUAUUAUUAUAUAAAGAUAAAUGAUAGCAUAUAAGAUGUUGAAUUUGUCUUAAAUGAAUUUUUCUAAAUAUCAAAUUUAUAUAAUUUUUGCUAACACGUCAUUAAAGAUAUUAAAUAUCAAAGAUGUGCAUUGACAUAUGUGUAACAAUCAACAAUAUCAUUUAUUUCAAGACGGAUGAAAUAGUAUUUGUAGAGAAAAUAGUAAAUUUCUAAAGUGUGGAAGCACAUGAAUUUCUUCUAAUAUAGUAAGAUAAUAAGUGUUGGAUGAAGUAUUUUUUGACAAAAUAAAUUAUAUUCAUUCAUUUAAAUUGAUAGAGUACAUCAAUAUAAUGCAAAUUUGCUAAAAACUAAAAGGAUGAAUAUGUGAACAAGCUCACAACAUCCAUGUUAAUAGCAUAAAACGGCAAAGUACAAAUGCCUACACAUAUGACUAUUUUUAAAUCUCCGGAAUAACCAUGUCUCUGGAUCUGCAACGUGGAUGACUCCACAAUCAUGGAUUGAAUCUGCACUGGAUCGAAACUGAUCUGACAAUCUGAGCCAAUCAAAUACCUGAGAGAAACAAGAAAAACAAACAAUGUCGCACAAAGACGACGAACAAACCAAUGUCGCACGAAGACGAAGAAAUCACAAAAUAAAAAACGGAAUUUAUUUGAAAAUCACUUAUUUCAAAAAAAGAGAAAAAGAAAACGAACUAAAGGGGUGAUUUGCCUCUCGAUAUAAUGUUUAUAAUAUUUCUCGAUAGAUCAAUAUUACUUUUGUGUAUGUAAUCACCUCUGAUUCUCUAAAUACACACCAUAACUUCAAAAAUUGGGUAUUGUUCCCCUUUGAAAACAUAAAUCAAUCUCAAAGAGGUUGAUGAAGAAGGAUAUCUUGUGGUGGUGGUGGUUUGCUAAGUGGGAAGGUACAUGAAAAAGGUACUUUGAUAGCAAAGUUAGUUUAAGUAUAAUAUAGUAAAAAGGAUUAGUCUAAAUAAAAAUAUUUUAACACACACUAUAAACUAUUUUUUUUUUAAAAGAGAAUAAAAUUAAAUGAUGUCAAUUGAUGUGAUUAAAUUAUUUUUGUUUAAUUUGAUUCAUUUCAUAUGAGAGUGCCUAUAUAAUAUUGAUUUGAGAUUGUAUCUAUGAAAGACUUCCUUGUAAAAAAGAAAAAAGAUGAAACACAUCUAAAUUAGGGCAAACCGUGCUCUUUAUAUAGGACGUGUUGAUGGCCUCAUUGGCCUUAUCCCUUUGGGUUAUAUAUAUAGCAACAAGAAUGCAUAUUAAAUUGGUUGGUCCAACAUCUUAAUAAAUAAGUCUUUAGAUCCAUCACCUAGUUGUACACACAUGCAGUAUGCACGUUUCAAUGCACUAAGUUAUCCAUGUUCAAUAUGAGCUCAGUUAUAUGGACCAAAUUAUUUGGUACUGUGAACACAACCACCGAGCAUCGAGCCUAAAGGGUAAAGAUGUUAUGAGUGAUCUCACGACUUAAAUCUUUGGUAACUAACACAACCUCAAGCGUCAAGCCUGAAAGGCGAAGGCAUUAUAAGUGACUUGGUGGCUAAUCAAUUUGGUAUUGAACACAACCCCCGAGUGUUGAGCCGAAAAGGUGAAAGCAUUUUUUUAUUUUUUUUUUGUCGAUUAGUCUUUAUUGGGCACAAGACGCACCAAAACCAAAAAUCCAAAUAGUAUCACGCACAUGACUUUUAUUUGGUACCUAGCACACUAAGAUGACAUGCCGGAUAUGCCGGAUAAUGAAUGUGGCUGUAUCUUCCAAUCCGAAUUUGAACAUGGCAUGAUUAAUAAUAAGGCUACAAUGACUACACAUUGCUUAUUGUUAGAUAAAUCACAAUUAUUAUAAAUUAAAGUACAAAAUGAUACUUUAGAAGUUGUUUAAGGGUACAAUUGAAAAAAAAAGUAAUUAAUAGUACAAUGAAAAGUGAUAAUGACAUACAUUUUGAAAUAAAUUAUUUUUGCUAAAGCGACACUCAUUUUAAAACGGAGAGUAUAUCUUGAAGUGAAUGAUUAUAAGACAAGAAUGAAGACUAUAGUCUUAACUUGAGUUUAUGAUAGUUAGGAGUGAAAGUGCACUAUUUAUAGAAAGAAAUCUAUACGAUAUGAUUCUCUUUGGGAGUUGUAUAUUGGGAUAUUCUCAAUAAGAUGCUUCAUUUUUUGCAUGGCUCAAUGAAUAUCAUCCAUUAAUAUGGUUGCAAAAAAAUUAAGUUGUGAACAUGUUUAGUUUACGAUGACAAUUCUUACAAGAAACUUUGAUAAUGAUUAGGACCUAGUUUAAUAGAUGAGUUCCAAAAAAAAUAUAGUUUAUGAGCUUUGUUUUACAAGAAAUAUUGAUAAUGAGAAACUUUUCCUGUGAGCCAUCGCCAAAACUCUAAUUUUUUCUCCUUCAUCUAUCAAAGAGGAGUGAUUUAUGGUCAAUUUUUGACCCAAAAUCACCCAUGUAACUCGUUUUUCUCUUUUUCUUUUAUUGAAAUAAGUGAUUUUAACAUCUAUUUCAUUUUUUAUUUUGUGAUUUUGUCGUCUUCGUGCGACGUUGGUUUGUUCGUCGUCUUUGUGCGACGUUGUUUGUUUUUCUUGUUUCUCUCAUGUAUUUAACCGGUUCAGAUUGCCAGAUCAGCUUCGAUCUAGUGUAGAUCAAAUCAAUGACUUUGGCGUCAUCCACGUUGCAGAUCCGGAGACAUGGUUAUUCUGGAGAUUUAAAUAUAGUCAUAUGUGUAGACAUUUGUACUUUGCCUUUUUAUGCUAUUAACAUGGAUGUUGUGAGCCUGUUCACAGUUUCAUCCUUUUUGUUUUUAGCGAAUUUGCAUUAUAUUGAUGUACUCUAUCAAUUUGAAUGAAUGAAUAUCAUUUAUUUUGAUAAUGAUUAAGACCUACCGUAAAUGGAGAGUGAUAUAUAAUUAGACUAUUUACAUAUGAGGAGUUACCGUUUUGGAAGAAAAAUGAUUUAAAGAUUAACAUUUAUAUUCAAUUAGGAAUCGAGACUACUUAAUUAACAUUUAUAUUAACUAAGAUAAGAUGAUCAACAGAUAACUAUCUUUGUAGCUUUGUUUUCUAAAUUGUAGAAGGCAUGGAACAUGGUCACCGCAACUUAAAUUAAUAAAGAUUUUCCAUCAAAUGAACCAACUGAAUACAUAUGGAAGCAAAGUAGUAGUAAUAAUCACCGACAAUGAUAUAGCAAGAAAUUCAUAUAUAGAAUUUGUCAACAAAAUAAAAACUAGUAAUGAAUUGAAUUUGUAGUCAACGCAUGAAAGAUAAGCAAUGAAGUUGAGCAUGGAACAAUGACCAGCGUUCAAAAUUGAUUAGAAACUACAUAUUGAUUUGAAUGUCAACAAUCUAUAGCUGGUCAAACCAAAUGCGUGUGUAAUGGGAAACUAAUUGUAAAUGUAAAUAGUCAAAAAAAAGUUUGAUCUGUUUAGGGUCCUUAGUUAUACGGUGAAAUACAACACAAAUUAUACUCGUAUAGAAGAAGUAUUAUAGUAGUAUUUUAUUAUUAUUUUUUUAAAAAGAAUAAAAUACUUCUUCAGUUAAAAAAAAACAUACAAUUCAAUUUUUAAUACAAUAUUGAUUACCUUUAAGUAUUUUUUACUUUGACAUACCUUUGAAUAUUACUCCCUCCGUCUCUUAAAAAUUGACGUUUUAAAAAAUACUAGCAGAAUUAUUGUCGCUUUGUAAUUUCAACGUGAAAUUAAGUAAGUUUUUUCAGAUUUGUCCCUAUGUAACUGCACACGCUUAUUUUUGAAAGAAAAAAAAAAUCAUCUUGAGCUAUGUGUGAAAUUACAUUUAAUGCUAAGCACCAAGUGAGUCUUUCAAGUAUUGGCAGAUGAAAUAAUUGGCGCCGGUAAGUAUGAAAAGUUGGCGGUUAAUGUGACUUUUAAUCUUUUCAAGUAACUUAUUUGUAAAUGUGACUUUAUGUUUGUUGACUUAUUUAUUGUAUUUUUUAAUUUGUGUACAAAAACCUUAAACGACUAAUAUUGUGAGAUGGAUAAAGUAUUUACAUAACUUUUAAUUUAAUAUUUUUAACUUUCUAUUUUUUUAGGAGAGCUUUCACUUUCCCUAUUCAUUUAUGGUUAGGGUAAAUACACCAAUACAUACUUUUCCUUAUUUUUUGUUUAUAUAAUUUUUUUAAUCUGUAUAAAUUGAUAGAUUAAACCCUUUAUUUUGACAAAAAAAAAAA